rnacentral:ncRNA from 1 species
CCUUCUGGUUCCUGCGGAAAGGAAAAAGAAUUUCACGUUCUUCCGCAGAAGGGAGCUUGACUGCAAGACUCACCCGUUGAGCAGAGACGAAAGUCGGCCUUAGUGAUCCGACGGUGCUGAGUGGAAGGGCCAUCGCUCAA